GCCAAAAUGCCAGAGUAUUGCAGUAUGCAAUGGUACAUUUUUUUUAUUAACUUCAGACCUGAGGAAGAGAGGAAAACUCUCGAAAGCUGGUCUUUGAAAUACUAUGUUAGUCCAAUAAAAAAAGGGAUCAUUGCAUACUGCAGUACUCUGGUAUUUUGGC